UUACAAUGGAGAGUUUGAUCCUGGCUCAGGAUGAACGCUAGCUACAGGCUUAACACAUGCAAGUCGAGGGGCAUCAUGUCGGUUGCUUGCAACCGAUGAUGGCGACCGGCGAAUGGGUGAGUAACGCGUAUCCAACCUGCCCCCGGCCGGGGUAUAACCCGUCGAAAGGCGGCCUAAUCCCCCAUGUAGUCCUCUGAGGUCCUCCGAUGAGGAUGAAAGGUAUUUUUCCGGCCGGUCGAUGGGGAUGCGUCCGAUUAGCUUGCUGGCGGGGUAACGGCCCACCAGGGCUUCGAUCGGUAGGGGUUCUGAGAGGAAGGUCCCCCACACUGGUACUGAGACACGGACCAGACUCCUACGGGAGGCAGCAGUGAGGAAUAUUGGUCAAUGGGCGGAAGCCUGAACCAGCCAAGUAGCGUGCAGGAUGACGGCCCUAUGGGUUGUAAACUGCUUUUGCGCGGGGAUAAAUUGGGGAACGUGUUCCCCUUUGCAGGUACCGCGCGAAUAAGGACCGGCUAAUUCCGUGCCAGCAGCCGCGGUAAUACGGAAGGUCCUGGCGUUAUCCGGAUUUAUUGGGUUUAAAGGGAGCGCAGGCCGCCCCUUAAGCGUGUUGUGAAACCCGGGCGCCCAACGCCCGGCCUGCAGCGCGAACUGGGGGGCUUGAGUGCGCGCAACGCCGGCGGAAUUCGUCGUGUAGCGGUGAAAUGCUUAGAUAUGACGAGGAACCCCGAUUGCGAAGGCAGCCGGCGGGAGCGCAACUGACGCUUAUGCUCGAAGGCGCGGGUAUCGAACAGGAUUAGAUACCCUGGUAGUCCGCGCUGUAAACGAUGGAUGCCCGCCGUUGGCACUUGGUGCCUUCGGCCAAGCGAAAGCGUUAAGCAUCCCACCUGGGGAGUACGCCGGCAACGGUGAAACUCAAAGGAAUUGACGGGGGCCCGCACAAGCGGAGGAACAUGUGGUUUAAUUCGAUGAUACGCGAGGAACCUUACCCGGGCUUGAAUUGCUGAGGACGGCGCCGGAGACGGCGCUUCCCUUCGGGGUCUCAGUGAAGGUGCUGCAUGGUUGUCGUCAGCUCGUGCCGUGAGGUGUCGGCUCAAGUGCCAUAACGAGCGCAACCCCUCUCCGUAGUUGCCAUCGGGUCAUGCCGGGCACUCUUCGGACACUGCCGCCGCAAGGUGUGAGGAAGGUGGGGAUGACGUCAAAUCAGCACGGCCCUUACGUCCGGGGCUACACACGUGUUACAAUGGCCGGUACAGAGAGUCGUCCGGGCGCGAGCCCGGCCCAAUCCCUAAAUCCGGCCUCAGUUCGGACUGGGGUCUGCAACCCGACCCCACGAAGCUGGAUUCGCUAGUAAUCGCGCAUCAGCCAUGGCGCGGUGAAUACGUUCCCGGGCCUUGUACACACCGCCCGUCAAGCCAUGAAAGCCGGGGGCGCCUGAAGUCCGUGACCGCGAGGAUCGGCCUAGGGCGAAACCGGUGAUUGGGGCUAAGUCGUAACAAGGUAGCCGUACCGGAAGGUGCGGCUGGAACACCUCCUUUCU
rnacentral:rRNA from 1 species